rnacentral:rRNA from 1 species
AUGCGGAGGAAAGUAGGGAAUGGCUACCACCGACGCCCUUCAAGAAGGAAUGGUGGCACCCGCCGGUGUCACCGCAUCGGCGCCGGACGAACCGACAAGGAUUUCUCCCGCACACCAAACACCACCGCCCAUCCGGAGCCAACCAUCCAAACUACCACCCAAUGCGCCACCUCGGUUGCGCCGCCUCCCACGUCGUCUCACUACGAGGACCACCACGAGGCCGAGAAGACCGGAGAGAAGCGCCACACGACGAGAACAACAGCACCAAUGCCGAGCCGAAGGGAACCACCUCCACCGCCGUCGUGCGAGAAGUCGAGCCUCCGGCACUGUCGCGGUAGCCGACCGGACAUGGCGGCGGGGCAUACCAGGCCACCCCUGGCCCGGCCAGGCCCGAAACGGCCCGCUAAGCCCCGCCGGCCGUGCUGCAGCAAGCUGGCAUCGGUGCCGCCAGCCCCCGUCGCGCAACACCGCUCCCCUGCAUCCCGGGAGUCACGCCGCCAACCAGCCCCGCCGGCGGCCCGCCCAGGCCAGAUGGGCCCCGUAGGGCCUAGAUCUGGGCCGAGCGCCGCCGCCAGGAUGAGCCACACGCCACCCCGCCACCAACGACGGCACUGCCGCCCAGCUGCCCACCUGCUCUGCGACAAGGAACCCCGCCGCCAGCUGGACCGCCGCCGCCUAGGAGCACCCCCCCGGUGCAACUCCGCCCCGUGCCGGAGCCACCGGGAGGGGAAGGGCAGGAAGGCCGCCGCCACCAGCGACCCCGGGGCCAGGACGGCAGCGGGGAGGAAGGGAAGAGGGGGGCUGGAGGCGGGAGAGAGAGGUGCGCAGCCGGCCGCCCGCGGGGGGGCGACGCGGUCGCGAGAGCGAGCGAUAGAAUAUAGGUCAGUGUGCAUAUACGUACAUUUUUUGGACAAAUCAACUAUUCUCUUUGAAUUUGAAUAA